UUCCCAUUGUUUUUAGUUGGAUAAAUUCAAGGCCUGAAGAUAAAAUCCUACGCGGAGAAUUCAAUUUGAUAUUUUUUUUUGGGAGAGAUUCAAUUUGAAUAUAAAUAUAUAGGACCGGGCAUUGGGCAACAUUGCAAAAAUCGGCAUCUUUUGUCAGAGAAAUCUGGAAAAUUGUAGGUCGAGAAAAAGAUCGAUUCCUCUUUCUCUGCCGCGGGAAAGAGAGUGAGAGAAUGACAGGAAUUUCAAGAAGUAGAUCGGUUCGUUUUCUACUGUUUUUCGCUUCCGUUCAUCUACAACUCAUUCCAGGUUUUUCUGAUGACUCCACAAGCUCAAAAACCAAGCCUGAUACAAAUAAUAAUACUGCGACCAUAAUAGUCUUUGUACUGUUCGGGCUUGUUGCAGUAGGGUUGUUUUCGUUUUUCCUUUACAAGUUGUGGCAGAAAAAGAAACGAGACGAACAAUAUGCCCGUCUUUUGAAGUUGUUUGAACAAGAUGAUGAACUCGAGGUUGAACUAGGCCUUGGGGGCUGAGAGCAUCGUUGUAAAAUCAGCUUGUCCUAUUUGAGGCCAAAACAGCAUCGCUGCUGGUGUUGUUUUAGAGAAACCGGUUUUCUAGUGGCCAUAGAUCAGGAUUUAAGCAAACCCUUUGGAGAGGUCAGAUAAAAUUCCAAACAUAACUUGUACUAUUUGUAAUGAUAAAAUGAGAUUUUAUUAUGAAUUUUAAGGUUUGUGCUUUACUUUGAAA